rnacentral:rRNA from 1 species
UACGUAGGGGGCUAGCGUUGUCCGGAAUCAUUGGGCGUAAAGCGCGUGUAGGCGGUCCGGUAAGUCCGCUGUGAAAGUCGGGGGCUCAACCCUCGAAUGCCGGUGGAUACUGUCAGACUAGAGUACGGAAGAGGCGAGUGGAAUUCCUGGUGUAGCGGUGAAAUGCGUAGAGAUCGGAAAGAACACCAACGGCGAAAGCACUCUGCUGGGCCGACACUGACACUGAGAGACGAAAGCUAGGGGAGCGAAUGGG